CUUAAUUUCCUUGCCUCCGUCACAAUAUGUAUGUAAGAAGGCACAGCUGAGCCCUUGGGGCUACGUAUGAGAAGGGAGAGGGAAGAUCUCCUGGGCUGAGUGUGUUUAAGCAAUUUCCCUCUGUGCGGAUGUGGACUCCUGGGGUUGUUGGUGUCAGGUUCUCUACUGCUGCAAUGGGGAUUGCUGGGGUGAACUGGGAUUUGAAGAGGAUUGAAGCUGGCUCUGAGGAAGGUGACCUGAACCCAGCACCAGCUAGACGCAAGGUUGGGUUUGGUGCCAUCUGUGCCAAGGGUAGAUGACACUCACAAUGGCAAGCAAGGGGGAUUGAAGAGCUCUGCUCCUCGGCUUGUGAGACAGAAUGACCGCAGGUGCUGAGAGAGAGCAGGAAAUCAUCUUUGUAAAGCUGUCCAGAAAGCCUUGAAUUCAGCCUUAUCUGGAGGAUUACCCCACGCUGUUCAGUUCUUGGCAUUCAGCUCCUCUGCAGUCCCCAGCUUCAGCACAGGAAACUCCUUCACCUAGCUGCUGCCAGCAUGCUUUUGGCGACCCUGGCUGUCCCGUCAGCUGUUACAGGCCAUUAAAGGAUUUGUUUCUCGGCGUAUGAAAAGGCUUAAUUCAAUUCUCAUUCUCUUCUGGCAUUCCUCGGAGAGCCUUCUAGGCUGUCAUCUACUUCUGGCUUCGCUCAGACUCUGCAGUCCAAAGAGUCAUGUGCAGUGACCCGCCACCAUCCCUGCUUCAGACUCCAGAGUCAGGUAGUUAGAUGAUUCCCUUUCAUGUAAGUACUUUUUUAUCUUUCUUAUCUGUGGAGGGAAGCCAGCACAAGUCAUCUUUGAAGGUAAGGAAAAUGGAACCAAUGUUUUGUAUCCCAGAAAUCUCAUUAUUUUCCAACUAAUCUGCUGACCUCGAAUGCAGGGGUUUGGCAGUUUCUUUAAGGGCUGUUGCUAAACAGAGCAGAAGCAGGUCCAUCUUGGGAAAGUCUGCAUGGGUACAAUAUGAAUUUUCUGUAAGGUGAAUUCUUUGGGCUGUGUCAGAAUGAGACACUGUGGGUGACUUGCCUUUGUCUCAAGCUUGAUGGUAGUUGCCUUUGUCUCAAGCUUGAUGGUAGAUUUCACAAGAGGAAAAAAGUGUGUUUAAGAAGUUACUUGAUGCUGAUCUGUCCAGAGUUUUUUUCCCAGGCUGGAUUUAGGGAAGGAUUAUCUCAGAUUUUCAUUUAGUUCUGAAAUCCUGGGUAUUGGUUUUAUAAACUAAACCCCCUUCGCAGCAGGUUGCUUGUUCUGUAUUGUUGUUUUAGCUUGGUGCAUAGAAAGGAAUUUAAAUUCACUGACAGGGUGGGGCUAGCUCCUCGCUGGGGUAAAUCAGCAUAGUUCAGAUAUUUAAAGGCAGAUGCAUCAGUCCUGGCAGCCGAGGAUCUGGCUUACUUUGAUUAAAAUCUGAUGAAGAUUACUCAGCCUUACCAAGGGACUUGGAUUACCAUUCUAUAAAAAGAAGGGCAGGAGAGCAGAGGACAUUAAAUAUAAAAAUAAUCCAACGAAGGAUGUGAAGCUAAAAGCGUGGCACGUUGAACAAUGAUGCAAACACCCUACUGAAACAGGUGGAGGGCCGCAGGGCUGGUGGGUGCACGCAAGGCUGGAAGCUAGGUUUGAGUCAGAAAGACAUUGCUCUUGUCACAGCCCUGGUCUUGUCUUUUAAAGGCAGAAUGUUCAGAAAGAGAGCCUCGCUCCUUAGAAAAUCCCCAGCGGAGUCUUGCAGGAGAAGAAGUGGGUGACAAAUCCUCUGCCUCUGCUUCCUCGGGGACCCAGGCUAGUGCCAAAUCUCACUACAAAGAGGUGAUUAGAGCUGAGGAACAGAAAGUCAGCUCUUACAGAUCUGAAAGCUUGAAAUGUGCAUCGUCUUUAGGGUUUCUUACAGAGGUUGAACUUCACCUCUCCCUUCUAUCGCAGCGUUCGUUUUCCUGGUUCUUUGUUCCUUUGAAAGCAUGAAGUGUAUUUAGGGGCUGUUAUUACUCCACGUGAUUGUGCUCCAUGGGCAGUGACCGAUAGAAGGGCUGCAAUGAGCCCUUUUUUUUUUUGGCCUUUUAAACGUUUCUGUCAAACCUUUCAGCACAUGUCUAGCUUUCCCAAGAUUUCGUAUCCAGUCCCUUAAAAUCAAUACAGUCUGGUCUUGCCUCUGCAGUGGAGCUAUUGAUAGGGAAGAUGCACUUGGGUCUUCAUCUAACUGCCUUUUGAAGCCCCUAAACCCAUUUGUCUCUUCUUUUGAUGGAGCUUGCUGCCUUGCUCAAUGGCUUGCUUGCAUAGGAAGCACCUUCCUUGCUGACCUCUGUUAAAAACGUGGAAGGUCUUCAAGUAGAGUUGCAGGACUUGUGAUUUGAGUGUCCUUCUUUACCCAGACCAAGGAGAACAGAGUGCAUGGUGCGUUGGCCAUUCUGGAAUCUGUCUAGGGUGGCUGGAAGAUGCUUUAAUGGUGUCAGAAGGCUCCGGGAGCCUGGACAGUGAGGUUGAGCGGCCUUAAGAACGUUGCUGACUUAAACUGACGCAUCUAAAUGCGCUGGAGGAAAGACGAGAGGGCUGUUUGGGGACCUCCUGGGUGAUUACAUACAUGGCUGGUCAGCGACAUCGCCUGAGUGCCCCGGCAGCUAUGCCAGUCUUCCAGUUUUCUUUCAUUGCAGUUCGGGUCGGAUGAGGAUAAGAUUGUGUUUUAAUAAGUGUUUGUUAGGGAGUGCUUCCCCCCCCGCCUCCCACCCGCAUGAAACUGUUUAUUUUCCUUGCAGUAACACGUGUGUUGCUCAGCUUCUGCUGUUCCAUGUGUCGUGCUCUGUUACUCUGCCUUGCUCGCAGCCGCAGAGCAGGGGGAACGCUGCCAAGGCUUUUUCUGGGAAUUUGCUCUGGUCGUGCUGCUUCCCCGGGAGCACUCAGCGGAUGCAUGUUGUUUGCAGGGGGGGGGGAACACUCAAAUGUCAGCAUCUGAAGGGAUCACGAAGGAAGCAAGGCGAGCACCAACUACUCUUCCACCUCUCAGAGGUGCCUGCAUACACACAGCCUUGGUAAGUGGUGGGCGAUGACUUGUUGAGAAAUGAUAUUGCUAAGCAGUAAAUGUGACCCUCUUGUGCUAUUUCAGAAAGAGAUUUUGCGUAAGGCAGCCUGCCCCAAAUUGCCAGCUGCAAAAAUGGGGGCUGCAUGUGGCAGUGAUACCCCAGCCAAGUUCACUCCUCUCUCUUGCUGAGAUGCAGUUGUAUUUUCACUUGGGCUGGAUGCAAAACAGUGCUUAAAACACCACAAAUUGAGAUGCAUUGGAGAACACCUUUUUAAGUCACCUGCCUUCUUGUUGCAGACACGAUUAUACCUACGCAGACUAAACUGCUGCAGGGAAGGCAGAGACGCAGUGCUCACUGCGGCUGCUUGGGCCGUUCAUUUGUUAGCAUGGGUUUGGAUUUCUGAUGACUCAGAAGGGAGCUCGGCUUCCUCUCAGCUAUUUGCAGAUCUAAAGAUCUGUUGUACUGUGGUUGUGAACCAGGACUCUGAACGUUGUGCAGAGCUGGGACCAAAAGCUGCCUCAGUCUCAGUAUGUAAAAGCAGUGAACUGGUUUCCACGUGUUGGCUUUCCACGUGUUGGGUUUGUAUGGGGCACUCACAAGCAACUCGCAGCAAAACAGUAAGGUGAGUGCUUGAGAGGGGUCCUUGCUGUUUGCAUGGGUUUCUUUCAGGCUAGGGUGAAGGUUAAAUAUUUCAAGCUUCUUGUUGAAGCCUCAGGAGUAGAAUUAGAGAGAUGAAUGCGGUGCAAAUGCCCUAACUCCAGGGGCAGGUGCUUCACUGCUGUGAGAGCUGGCAAUGCUAAAUAUCUCAUACUUUCUGACAUACAAUUUCUUCCAGACCUGGAGUGUUUUACCCAUUAUCCUCAUAUACAAAACCUGAGGAAUAUGUGGUGGUAAAGCCCCUCUUUGUGUGGUACAUACACGUGAGUCUUUUGUACCAGAUUUGUAACAGCAGCUGCAGAGCUCUUCACCAGAACCACAUGGUAAUGGUAAGCAGUGGUCACUGGUUUGCAUAGCUCCAUGGCCUGCAGCACCUCUGUGCACCCACUGCAGGUACGUAGCCUCAGCUCUGGGUACAGUACGUCUCUUCACGCUGUGCUCUGAGCUCCUGGGCUACACUUGAUCAUCUAUUCCUACGUGGGUUUUCCUACCUGGGUUUUCUCUUUCCAAGGUCUCAGACCCAGCUGUACCACCCUUCCCUCUUAUCUUCAGCUUGCUUUCCUGAGAAAACAGGGUUAAUGUGUCUGGCUCCCUCUUGCCCACCCCUAAUAACUUUCCAGCCUGAUGACUGAUUCCAGCUGUGUGUGCCAGAGAUCUGAAAGAUAAUGAGUUCCUACUGGCUUGAUAUAAAUAGAUGGCGAGGGGAAGACUUUAUCUUUUCCCCUCUCUGUCGGGAGAGUUCAUUCCUUAUCAGUCCAAGAGCAUCUGUGUGAGGUGAAACAAGAGAUGUUAUGAAUGCCUAUGGGGAAAGCUGCACUUGAAGCUGGUAUCCUACUGCGUCCUGGAGAACCCACCUGUGAUGUGGGGGUUCCCAUUGGAGGGGGCCCUUCCAGCCUCUGGCAGUUGGCUGGGGGCAGCUUUCCCUGCAGCAGCACUUGCCUCCCCCAGGCCACUCUGUUUAAUCUAUUUAAAGCUCUUUAAUCAAAACCUAUGUCUACGGACCCUGGUGUCAAUGGCCCAGCUUCCGGGUUUUUUUUUUUUUUAACUAUUUUAUGUCCACAGCAUGGGAUGGACUUAAUUGCCAAGGGCUGGAAGCGGGACUGCAAAGGUAUUUUAAUUACAUCUGAUUGCUGCAUUCUGCAGCCUUGCUCUGUCAGUUGUUCUACCACGGCACUGUGUAGAGCCCACUUGGACCAGCGCAGGCACAUUGGCUGUGUGUGGGCUGAUCACAGAGGAAAACAGCAGUACAUCGGUCUGGACGUCAUUGGGGCUGUAUCUUUUCUCUCUACUCUGACUUUAGGGCAACAGAUUCUUCCCCAUUAGAGUACUGUAGUCCUUCCAUAUCCACGUCACUUAGAAGCAGUAGUACCAAAUUCACCCUGCUCUAUUGCAUGGGCAUCACACAGGCAGAGCAGGAGUACUUGCUCUAAGGAGAACCUGCUUUAUUGCUCCAGACACAUCCCUGCAAGACUUUUCCCCAGCUCCUUUGUUGGUUUCAAGGCUGGUCAGCCUCAAGGGUCUUCUCUUUUUUUUCUGUCAAGUAGGAGUGCUCUUUUACUGUAAGGGAAGGAGCUGUCUCUAAGUCUAUUCGAGGGAGGCAGGAGGGAGUGAAACAAGAAAGCUGCUGGCCUCUCUGUGCUGACAUACUCAAAUUGGACCCUUGGGGGCUGGAUUGGUGCAUGGAGUAAGCUGAAUCCCAUGGAGGGACAGGCAGGAGCCCUGCAGGUAAGGUAAAGCACCUGCUUGGAAGUGUCUGCUCACCAAUGGAGAGCAGCUCCAGCCAAGCGUGUAUGAAACGAGGGUAACUAUUGCAUCUUCACCUGGCUCUAGCUGUAUUUUCAGUAGUGCUCAGGCCUGGCAGUAUGCGCACCUCUACCUGGAUGUUUUCUGGUGCAUUCAGCAAGUGGCAGCUCCCAGAGCCCAGACUCUGACCUGCCUUAUCAAAGUGUUCAGCACGCAGAAGGCAGAGAAAGGGCUUGAACCUGACCCAGGGCCUGGGGAAAGGAAAGUCCAAAGAGGAGGAGGGCAGAGGUAAGGCUGUUUUUGUGCAGCUGCUAAUAAGCACUUCCGUUCCUGCCAAAGCUUUUACUUCUGAUUUAAGAGGAACCUCAAUAUCCACAAUUUUUCUAUGUUGGAACGUGUUUGUGUUUUUAACAACGCUCAUCUGUGUUUCUUCCUCUUAAUAGAUGCAACCCUGCUGCAGAUUAUAGACGUGUUUUGGUUGAGAUUCUCUGUGCUUGAUGCAUUGUCUGCCUGCAACGCAGGGCAAACUCUACUCCUCCCUUCUGGCCCGGCCUGUAAUGAUGGAUUAAGUAGGUAAGUAAUAGAGUGGUAAUGAGAUAACCACUGACAUCGAGCAUUAACGUGGGAAUAAAUGAAGUUACCAUCCAGAACUAAUGGCCUGAACUAUCACUGGGUUGUAAUUAAUGAACGUGGUGGCUGAGAUUUACAAGGAUAUUUUAGGAUGCUGUUUGCAUGCAGCUUUGGCUUUUAUGGCUUGGUUGGAAAGAAAUCAAUUAAUGCCAUGAACUUAAUGAAUGAGAUGACGAUGUGCUUUGUCAGAUUGUAGUGCCCCUUUUGUGGAAGCGGCUAGACUGGUGUGCACGUGGAAUGCUGUUGUUUGCCUUACUUCAAGGGACGGAAGAAGUUAGGAUACUGUGAUCUCUGUCUCCCUAGGUCACUUACUCUGUAGUGUGUAGUGGAGCUGUUGCAAAGUGUCUCUGAUGGCCAAACUACACACUAGUGGUGUGCCUGUGCUCAAGAGGCCUUGCUUGGAGAGCUGUCCCUCUCUCCUUGCAUGGCUUAGUAGGCAUGUGACCCUGCCAAACACUUUGGAUAUGUGUGAAUAACACUUUUGAGGUGGUUGCUAGGCUGUUGCAGAAAACACAGAAGAGCAGUCAAAAUUCUUCACGUUAAUUGGUGGGAACAAUCCAGCCAUCUCUGCUGACUGUUGCUUCUCUCAUCUUUCCAUGGCAACAGUCUCUCUACAGCAGCCCAGGUGCUCAUGGUUGGGCAUGCUGGGAUUUCUGAGCCCUCUGUCUUCCAAAUCACCCCCUUGGAGCAUGGAGGGAACAUCUGUACCGCUAAAGUAUGGCAUCACACGAUGCAUCAAAGACAUCUCUUUGUGUAAUCAUGUUCCUUAUGCUGUCAGAGACAGAAAACUUUGGGAACGUGAACUGAACCCUUACAUUUCUUCAGUGCAAAUGCUGUUGCCCUGUUUUUUGAUGAGGAGAGGAAGGUGCUGAGUCUUUCCUGUCCUGGCCGUGUCCAUGGACCGAGCUGUCAUACCAUUCUGAGAGCUGGAGGAAGGAAAGGGACUGGUAAGCAAAGGGAAGGAUGAUGUCUCUCUCUCUGCCACAGAGCCCAGCCUGACUGCUGGUGUCAAGUUGCCUUUUGGAAGCCAGGAUGGUGGCUGGAGGUGAGAAUAAGGAGAGAAAGUGGCUCAGGCACUGCAUCGUCCUCACCUCUGCUCCCUGCUGUGAAUAUAAGCGUGUGGAGAUAGCACAAAGAGGGGUGCUGCCCACUUCUAGCAGGGUAGAGUAGGUAUGGAGGAGGCAUCCCUUCUGCCUUGCCUCUCUGAAGCAUGUUCCAGGCAUGUUCUAGCACCAUUUUCUCUUCUGGGACCUGUUUUACAGGCACUUUUAAUGAUUCUAGGGGAAAAUGAGAGACAGAUGGCCAGUGAUGAACCCAGUCCAAAGCUGCCCAGACUUGAGGGAGGGUGUCGUUUCAGCUGGAAGCAUCACAUCUUUGAGGUGCACGCUCAGUAGUUCCCUUCCACGCUGAGCAGGAGGAAGGAAUUUCCACCUGCUGGACCAGCGUAAGCCAAGACCCAAAUUGAGCAAAGUAUGGUUCAUGGAUUUACACAUUAUGUGAUAUGCACCUUCCCUUCCCCCAGCUUUGGGAAGUUUAUUGCCCCCAACAAAGUAUGCCGUGUGGCAGGCUGUUAUGUGACAGGGGAAAAUUACCCAGACUGUUCUCCAGAAGGCAAGUGAGCAAAAAUUUUCCUCCAACUGGUUCAGGACAAAGUUAAUGUAGGAAAGCCAUUAAAAUUAAUGCUGGUAAUCAAGGAUAAAAACCAGCAGGGCUGUAACAAAAUUUGGACCAGAUUGAGUUUCCCAGCUGUCAUGCUGCAUGCUUUCUUAAAGGCAGCAGGCAGAGGGAGGGUGUAGUGUAAGGCAGGCUUGGAAAGUUCUUGUCAAGGGUGUGAGUUUGGGGGCAUCUGGAUUCUGGUGGCAUUGGCUCCUUGGUCCGGCACUGUCUUUUUUUGUUUUUGAGGAAGCAAUGUCUCUGCUUGGUCUGAUGGUCCUUAUGACUUGUGUUUUAUUCAUAUCAUGUUUACCUGCUUUCUUCCAGAGUCUGCCCUCAGAAUUCAGGUCCUUCUCCAGGACUCUGGGAACCUGCCUGCGUGUGAUUGACGGCAUCACGUGAGCGUGUAUGGGGCUGCAUCUCAUGCUGUCGGGUCAGAGAUUACCUCCAAGCAGCCAAUACUCAAUGUUCAGUUAGAAAAGAUGCAAAGAAGCAGAGCCAUUCCCCUCUCUGUGUCAUCUGCCUCUGAGAGUGGGAGAGUGCUGGCAGAGCGCUACCGGGUCUGUACUGGUAUAGAGAGGAAGGCUCAGAUUUGAUGAUUUGUCCAUUAUCUGGUGGUGGAUACAGCCUAACCUGGGCUCAGAGCAUCCCAAGGUCUGUAUCCUAGUGCAGGAACUGGCUGCUGCUGCUCUCUUCUGAAUAGACAGCUUUCUCCAGCCUCACAGCAUGCUAAUGUAGGCCAGUCACCUUCACCACAACUCCUGGCGCAAGAUAUUCAGCAGACUUGAUGCUUCAUAGUAGGCUGAAUCUGGUAUAACCAAGGCAGAAUUUCUACCUGCCAGUAGUGAAGUAAUGCCCUGUGAUUUCAAGUGACCACUGGUUUGACAGCAGUAGUGAAAGGGAAAGGCAUGAAUAGGCCGGAUAUCAGGAAAACCUUCUCAGGAGUGAUGAGGCUGUGAAAUGGACUGCCCAGGGAGGUGGUGGAGUCACUGUCCCUGGAGGUGUUCAAGAACUGUGGAGACGUGGCACUGAGGGACGUGGUUUAGUGAGCAAUAAUGGUUGAUGGGUGGACAGCUGGAUUAGAUGGGUCCGACUAGAGGUCCUCCAAUUAGAGGUCUUUUCCAAUCUAAAUGAUUCUAUGAAAGCAGUCGACCGUUUUCUUGCAGUCUCUGAGAAGCUUGGAUAUGGUGUCUGAAACGAGCUAAGGAAGCCACCUAAUCUCUGAGCACAUCCACCUUCUGCAGCAUACACCCUUCCAGCCACAAAGAGGUCCUGAGUCCCUCAGUGGCUGCAAAGAACAGCAGGUAGAUGGAGCAGACAGAGAUGGAGAGCAUUCUUUUGUUGCUUUUUUUUGGGGGGGGGGGAGUAUCGUUGAAGAAUCAGGGUGACAAAAAUAUUUUGAUGGAAGUGACUAUGUGAAAUAUCUUUUCAUUUUGAUUAUUUGAAAAACAAAAACUGUUCAUGGGUUUUAAAAUUCAUGUCCCCUCCGGGUUGCUUUGUUUUGUUUUGUUUCUUAUUCCUUCUCCCUUAUUCCUCAGAGGAAGCCAUCCAAACCUACACGGUGCGUCAUUUCUUGAGGAAAUGCAGUGUGAUCUUUUUUUCCAGUUUAACCUGGGCUGAAAAAUCUUCUGGUGUUUCAUUUGCCUGAGAAAUCGGGAAAAAAAAAGCUUGGAUGAAACAGGAAUCUGGCUGGUUCACAGGGAACCUUCUUGGUUUUGGAGACCCACUUGGGUGGGGUAGCUGCAGGAGCUCUUUGUUGUGCAGGCUGGGGAGGAGGUGAUGCCAUCUUUGCCUGGGCCAUACUUUGUGCCCAAUGCCUCCUCCAGGGGUGAGGGGCAUAAGGGGUGCAGAGCUGUGUCUUGGUUGCAGCAGGGAACUGCUACCACUGAAGUAUGAUUCUCAGCUUUCUGGAGUUGUGGAAAACAUCUGGACAAUGGUUGAAAUUGGAAGAGCGAAGGGCUAUCCUGGCUUUUGAGGGCAUAUCAUGGGAUGUCCCGCAGGUGGCUUGUUGGAGGUGAACCACAGAGGGAGGACUGCACUGGAGAGGCAUAGAGGCUCACAUGGGACGGGAGUGGUGGCAACUGCCUGUAUGCCUGGAAGCAGGGCAAGCAGUGGACUGGGGGUGGAGGAGACCACCUCCGCCUGUUGCUGCCAUCUCCACGAGCUGCCAGCUCUGCCGUGUAGCUUUGCCCAGAUCUGCAGUAGAGCUGCUCAUCCCCAGCCCUGCCAUCCCUGUGCCCCACAUGCUGCCUCUCCUAUAAAUAGCCGGAUGGGAAGCAGAGCGCAGAGCCGCCGCAGAUGGCCCCCAGUUCCACGCGCACUCAUGUGUGAGAUCCCAGAGAGGGGCUGUCAAUUCCUUGCCUACAGCCACCCAUGCAACCUCAUUAAGGAUGGUGUCGUCUUCCUUAACCCCCAUCGCCCCCUCCCUCCCCACUUCAACGUGCCUCCAUUUGAGCACCCUUAUUAAACGUGCACUUCUAAGCAAGGAGCGCUGACUUCCCCUUAAUUGAGGCAUAAUAAUUAGAGCAUUAACACAUUAGGAGGGUGAGACAGCAUGUUUAGCUUUUGUGAUUAAUUAUCUGAGGAUUGUAAUAAGUUGUUAAGACAUUAAUUACUCUGGCAUGUUUAUUGCUCUUUAUUGCAGAACUGACACUUGGUGGAAGAGUUGCUGGUGUGCCUGGCGGUGCACCGUGAGGUGGGCUGGCCAGGGGAGACCUCUGCUCCCCCAUAGGCACUGAGCUGCUGCUUGGGAAUGGAUCUAGGGGAGCAGAAACAGCUCCUGAACCUCCAGCAGGACACCUCGGGAUGGAAGUGGUGUCUGAAUCUCUUAGAGUCGUAGGAUUAUGAAGGUUGGAAUAAAACACUGAGAGCAUCAGCCCAUCCCCACCGUGCCCACUAAACCAUGUCCCUCAAUGCCGCGUUCUCCCUCAUCUUGGGGCAGCCUGGGAGCUGGAAGGCUUAUUUUUAUGGAUGGUUUCAGCUGGAUUUCUCUCUUCUUUCAAACAAAGUGUUUCCUCUCGGAUGGUUUGAGCCUGCCCUCAUUUGGAUCUUUGUUUUUGCAAAUCCAAGUCAGCGUGGCUCAUUGUGCCUGGAUCUGAGGAGGAUGGCUGUCUGUUAACGACAAGCUGAAGUUCAGCGUGUCGGCGGUGGUCAGGGAGUGAACCAGGACCCCAGUGGCCUCGCUUGGCUCUUGAUCAGAUGAAUUUUCUUCUGGAGAGCUGGGAGGUGGGUUAGGGAAGGCUGUUGCUGUGGCAGCAGGAGUGGAUCAGCCCUCUGCAGCCUGUUCUUCACACAGCAAGCUGCUCAGCGACCUGUCAGAGCUGUGCUGAUCAGAUGGGGGCUGAAGGCAGAGUUCAGAGCAGGAGGAUGGGUGGGUCCAUGUGCUGCUGUGACAGAGAAAAAAGGAAGCAGGAGGCUGCGAUGGGCCUGUUCCAGCCUUCUGCUUUUCCCAUGAGUUGCACAGUGCCAGAGUCUUGCUGUCCAGCUCUUUGGGUGGGGGACAGCACAGGAGAAAUGGGGGGAAAUGGAGUAACAGCCCCAGCCACUGGCAUGGAGAAUAAAACUGGGAAAAUGGUGAAAGUCGAGAAGGUGAGAAAGCUGUGAGUUUUGUGUGUUUGCUGUUGGUUUGAUAUUGGAUGGCCCCAUCCCUGCCGACAGCCAAGGUCAGGCUGGAUGGGCUCUGAGCACCACUAGGGCUGUGAGUGUCCCUGCUCAGUGCAGGAGGGUUGGACCAGAUGGCCUCUGAGGGUCCUUUCCAGCUCAAAACGAUGCUGUGGUUCCUUGGGGAGCCCUAGAGCUGAAAUGUCUGGUUUCCAGCCUAUGGCAGUGCCCUUGUGGCUUUGCAGCACGUGCUUGUGUCUUGGGUAGCAGCCAAGGGAGUGGGAGGGGGUCUUUAAAUGUGAAGACCCUGUCCGGUUCGCCUUUCCUAAGGACAGACUGUCUCACUGUGGCUCCCACCAGCUCAAUCUGCUGUCACUGUGUCACUGGCACUGGUGGCCAGGGAGCUGCACAAGGCACUGAAUGCCCUCCUCGUGUGCGAGCUGGGAUCCAUCUUGUGUCAGCUGCCUUCAGCACCUCCGAGCCCACACUGCCUCGCUGUAGCCCAGCCUGAAUAUGGCAUUUGCUGUCAGGUGGCUGAUUUCUGCCUGCAGAAUAUGGAGAGCGUCAGCCUGGCAUUUCCCACUUGCCUCCUAGGGACAAAGCAGGUCAUGACUUCCGUGUAUUAUCAUUAAAAAGAUAAUUUCCUCUAGAUGUGUGCAAUAAGACAAUGGUGCUGACCUGUGAUCCUGGCAUUGCACAGCAUUAAUGAUUUCCCUUUGCAGGUAAUAAGCAGCAAAUGUACACAUUUUGGGGAGAUCUGAAUUAGUUUUUUUCCCUCCUUUUAAGACUGCUGUCUUCCUAGGCCAGACUUAAUUAGCAGACCUCAUUAUUUCCUGAAAUGUAACUUGACUUCCAUUGAAUGAGAAUUGUUCAGUGGAUGGGGAGCAGCAGAGCGGUGCUGCAAUAUUCAUAUUGUUUAAAUUGCAACAUUAACAUUUCAUGCCGCUCUUGGCAUAUUUUCAGGUGCGGCCCUUUAGCUCAAUGCAGUGCUGUGAAAGGUUGGAUCAGAACAAUUAGGAUACAGCGACUGGAUUUCUGGAUUAUUAUUAUUAUUUUUUUUUUUUAAGCAACACAAGCUUAGAUUCAAUGCCCAUCACUCUCUUUGUUUGGCAGAACAGGGAUUCCAGCGCCCCUGAAGUAAAUGCUUUUCUGGAAUAAAGGAUGUGCUGUAGCACAUGCUCACCUCCUCUCUUAGCAGAGAUGAAGCCCUGCAGGUACAUGCAGUACGUGAUUCGCAGGGCUGGAAGCACCUCCUGGGACUUGACCUUCACUAGCUAAAUAAGAGAACUCCCAAUAAUGCUUCUGGCCACCUAGGCCACAGUCGCACACAAAAAGGCUGUUUCCCACUUUGCCCUUGUUCUUGGAUGCCUCAGGCUGGAGGUGGCACUGUAGUAAUGCCCAGGUCCAAGCGGAUCCUACAUGAGCACGUGGAUUGCACUCCCUAUCUCCAAACAGCCCGUGGGCCUUGGUCCUGCACAGGGGCUCCAGUGACCUUUGCUGCCUUGCCCCAUAGUGUGCUUUCCAGUAGUUUUUCCUGUACUGGAGUUCAGUGUCAAUGAUGGGAGUUAAUGUCAAGGAAUCAUAGAAUACCUGGGUUAGAAGGAACCUUAAAGCCCACCCAGUCCCAACCCUACAGUGGGCUGGCUGCCCCUCCCCCACCAGCUUAGGCUGCCCAAGGCCCAAUCCAGCCUUCCUUGAGCACCUCCAAGGAUGGGACACACGUCUGGGAUUGCCAUGAACCAAGUGCAACACCUUGCAUUUGGCCUUAGCAGUGUCAAGAACAACUCCAGCUUCCACCCUGGAACAACUUAAUUAGGGUCUCUGACUUCAGCCAACCAUGCCUCCCAUUUGUAACGUGUGCAGUGGGAUCCAUGACAUCUUAUCUCCCAUGGAUACGUAGCUUGGGUCAGGGUUCUCUGGUAUCUGGUAAGCUGCUUGUGCUGAAUGGAACACCUCCUCUCGUGGGUUAUUUAUAACAUCCUGCUCUCCCACGCAGAUUGUCUGGUGUCUAAUAGUGGAUGAUGCACUACAGUUUGCAAGGUGCUAAUAAUCUCUCUCCUCUGUUUGACAGUCUGUUCCCAUGAGAUUUAUAGACUCUGACUGUCCCUGAGACCUCUGCCUCUCUGUCAGAUCAGGCUGAAAUCUGUUCUCAGUGUCAGAAGCUGCUGCCAAGCAGGCAGGGGAUGGACUGAUGCGUGUGUUUUGCAUCCCAUAAGAACUCAAGCACAGACCUGGGGGGCGAUGGGAGCUCUGAUUGCCAACUUGUGGGUUCAGGAAGGUGAGCCUCCAGGAGAAGGGCCGUGCCCGCAGCCAUCCUGCAUGAGAUGCCGUGCUGCGGGAUGCUCACGGGCUGCACUUCAUGUUCCCAUCGCCUGCGGUGACCAUCACAAGCGGCGCAGCCCCUGUGGGAACGGCCCCUGAGGACAAUAAACGAGCCAGCCCCGAGCUCCAGGCUGCUGUGAAGAAUUGCCUGGCUAAAGGAUAAUGAAUACCGCAGCAGGAGACGGAGCGUUUCUCCGAGGCCAUCCAUCCCCUUUAUCACCCCGCUAACAAGCCCCUGAGCGACUUCAGAGAGGCUUCUGCAGAGCAGCUCAAUCCCUCACCGUGCUGGCGGCUGGGUGCUGGGGGCUCUGCGGGAAGCCACAGCCCCAUCCCACAGAGCAACCGCCAGUGCCCUCCAGGGGUCCGUGUAGUGCCAAGGAGGGGCAGAAGAGCCAGGCAUCCUUUUUUUUUCCAAGGCACUUUUGGGCCCUGCAGCACCCUUUGGAGCAUUGCUUUACCCAGCUCCCAGCCUGGCAAAGAUUUCUGAGAUCUGUGCGAGGCUCAGGAGGAGUUUAGUGCUGCUGGCCAGGAGGUUUAUCUAUAGGAGGAUGCAUCUAGCACGGUCCCUGCAAGAACUUCACAUCCAGUGCUGGAGGAGGAGAAGGGAAAGCAAACAGUGUUGGGUGUUCUCAUCAAUGUAGGUGGCUGGGGGGGUGCGAGGGGGGGCAGAAAGCAGGAGAAAAGCUGAAAGCCCUUCAGGAAGGUGUACAGAGCACAGUGAUGGGCAAUUAGGUUGUUCCAGGAAGGACAGAAGUAGCAGAGAGCAGUGAGCUGAGUCUGAGGAGCUCUCUGAUACUCAGCAUCAGCUUCGACUGAGGUCGCUGGGUAGGGCUGGUUGUGUUUAAUGCCUCAGUUUCCCCACGGGAGAGUUCAUUUACAGCCUGAAAACAUCUGGCACUUUUCCUCCUUUGGCCAGCACUGUUAUGUGUUGAAUUGAAGGGAAACGCAAUGCAUCACCCUCCUCAUGGGCUGCCACUCUGCCAAGAGUAGCGGAGAUUGGCCUUCCAUCAUGGGGGGCUGAGGUGGAAGGGACCUCCCGGAGCAUGCAGCGGAGAAAUACUGUCAUUAGCUGAGGAAGACCUGGCAGAGAUGGAGUGCUCCUUCACCUUGCCCACCAGACCUCUGCCCUGCUUGCUGCUAACAGGACAGGGAAAUGCUAACUGUGCCAGCUGCAGUGCUUGGAGUGCUGUCUGCAUCCAGAUGUGAGAAACAGCUGGGACAGCAAGGCUUUUACAGCCUGGUGGGGGUGGCUUUGGUCUUUUUGCUGCCUAUCAACAAGCCCUUGCUGUUGGGAUCAAAGAACGUUUCUCCAUACUUACAGUCAGUGGGUGCUGGAUGAUCCCCAGAGGUCCCUUCCAACCCCUACAAUUCCAUGGGUCUGUGAUGUCCCUGGCCAUGAAGGUCCCAGGAUGCAGGAGGUCUGCCUCCUGUACUUACCAGUGUAACAGGGCAGCCUUUGGGGUGGUGUAGGUUUGAAGGAUGCCUCACCUGCUCCUGUCUCGCAGGUUGUAGGGAAAUCAUUUUAAUUAGCGUGACACGUCCCUUUGUGGGCAAAAAAAAAAGAAAGAAAAGAAGGAAAGCCAAUAGAAACUCCGGCCAUUCGGGGUAUUUUUAGUUCUUUGCGAAGGACUGUUAACAUCUCUCUCAGCUCCCUGAAGACUGCUUUGGCUCUGCAGUUGCCUGCGGUGCUGUGCUGACGCCAGCACACCCUGCAUGAAGCUGUUCGGUGAAGGAGGGGCUACAGGAACUCAGGGAGAGCACAAAGUUCUGGAUGAAGAACACGAAAGUGAUGGGACCUUUCCUGCAUUCUGGAUCUGCAUUUUCAAUUCCUCGUGAAGGACCAGGAGACACAGGCAAAGGAAGCCAGCUGUACAGAAAGCAGAAGUCCAGGUGACAGAUUGAGGGAUGCUACAAGCACAGUAGGCUGCCUGAUAGAUUGAUAGAUUAGACAGAGAAUAUAAAUAGCAUUGUUUAUCUAUCCCACUUUUAUUUUCCUCCCACUUGUCUCCCUAUCUACCCUGGUUUUGUUUUCCUCCCACUUAUCUCUUUAUCUAUCCAGCCUGAAGAUGGAACAGCAGUAGAAUGGAUGAGUUCAAGUUGCUGUGUUUCUUGUGGCAUUCAGGCAAAGUUUUGGCAACUGGGGAGAAUUUGGCAGAGCUGUGUUGAUCACCCUGAGCAAUGGCGAUGCUACAGGAGGCAGAGCUUUUCCACUCCUGAUGUACCGCUGCAGGUUGGGGGUUGUUGGGAGUGAUGGCCUUAUGUAGUCUUUUGAAGGCCCCAUCACCCCUUGAAGGAGGAUGCAGAGAUGCCCUUGGUGCCUGCACUGGGUCUAGCUGAUAGAGAAAUGAAGCAGCUCUGGAUGUGCCCAGGAUGGGUUGCACUUUGUUUCAUGCCCUUUCUAAGGGAGUGGUGAACGUGGAGGGCAACAAGGAUGCCACAGGUAUGGAGCAGCCUCCAUAUACAGACCUAAUAAGGAAGACACAUCACAGAUACAUGUCAUCCAUGUGACUGAAAGGAUGUCCGUGGUCAGUGACUCCCCAUCCUUUCCCAUACCGCAGUGGAGGGGCACCAAACAAAGCUCCUAGUGCCCAUUUCUGGCAUGCCCAAGGGGGUGCGAUGUGCCACAGAUGGCCUUAAUUGGCCACCUAAGAAUCCGGAGCACCCCUCUGAGUUAACGGAGCCACUGACAGGAAGGAGAUGGCCGACUAGCAUGGGAUGUCCUCCUUGUCUAUGCCUUCUCAGGAGGCUUUGCUCAAUGCCAGGCCUGUAUGAUGGGGUAGGAAACAUGGGGCACACGGUGCUGGCCUCCUCACCACCCCCCAGCACAGCAAUGGAAAAGCCAGGGCCAGAGAUGACAUCAUUCUUGUUCUUUUUUUUUUUUUUUUUUUCUCAGUUAUUUUUGGUUGCUCUUUUGCUCAAAAAAAGGCAUUUUUUUAAAAAAUAUAUUAAACAGAUACAUUUUACUAAGAUGUCUCUCAGCUGGAGCCACCAACAAGAAAUGAUCCUCCUCAAAUAGAUAAGCUUAAAAAAAAAAACACCUCCCAAACCAACCAAAUAAAUAAAUACAUAAAUAAAACAUUUUUCUUUUAUCUUUUUCUUUCCUCCUUUUGUUUCCAUUUCUCUGUAAG
ensembl:lncRNA